rnacentral:rRNA from 1 species
UGGGGAAUAUUGGGCAAUGGGCGAAAGCCUGACCCAGCAACGCCGCGUGAGUGAUGAAGGCCUUCGGGUUGUAAAACUCUUUGGACAGGGACGAAGAAAGUGACGGUACCUGUAGAACAAGCCACGGCUAACUACGUGCCAGCAGCCGCGGUAAUACGUAGGUGGCGAGCGUUAUCCGGAUUUACUGGGCGUAAAGGGCGUGUAGGCGGCUAGAUAAGUGUGAUGUUUAAAUCCAAGGCUUAACCUUGGGGUUCAUUACAAACUGUUUAGCUUGAGUGAUGGAGAGGAUAGUGGAAUUCCUAGUGUAGCGGUAAAAUGCGUAGAUAUUAGGAGGAACACCGGUGGCGAAGGCGGCUAGCUGGACAGUGACUGACGCUGAGGCGCGAAAGCGUGGGGAGCAAACAGG